rnacentral:rRNA from 1 species
AACGAACGCUGGCGGCAGGCUUAACACAUGCAAGUCGAACGCACCUUUCGGGGUGAGUGGCAGACGGGUGAGUAACGCGUGGGAAUCUACCCUUCUCUACGGGAUAGCUCCGGGAAACUGGAAUUAAUACCGUAUACGUCCUGAGGGAGAAAGAUUUAUCGGGGAAGGAUGAGCCCGCGUUGGAUUAGCUAGUUGGUGGGGUAAAGGCCUACCAAGGCGACGAUCCAUAGCUGGUCUAAGAGGAUGAUCAGCCACAUUGGGACUGAGACACGGCCCAAACUCCUACGGGAGGCAGCAGUGGGGAAUAUUGGACAAUGGGCGCAAGCCUGAGCCAGCCAUGCCGCGUGAGUGAUGAAGGCCCUAGGGUUGUAAAGCUCUUUCAGUGGGGACGAUAAUGACGGUACCCACAGAAGAAGCCCCGGCUAACUUCGUG